rnacentral:pre_miRNA from 1 species
AGGAGGAACAACCGCAGUGGCGGGGCCAGCUCUGCAGCCCUGGAGUCAACUCCCGCAGUAGCUCCAGAGCUCUCCGUCUGCAGGGCCUGGAGGCUCUGGGGCGGG